UACGGGGGGAGCAAGCGUUGUUCGGAUUUACUGGGCGUAAAGGGCGCGUAGGCGGUCGUGACAAGUCACUUGUGAAAUCUCCGGGCUUAACUCGGAACGGUCAAGUGAUACUGUCGGACUAGAGUACAGAAGGGGCAACUGGAAUUCUCGGUGUAGCGGUGAAAUGCGUAGAUAUCAGGAGGAACACCGGUGGCGAAGGCGGGUCUCUGGGCAACAACUGACGCUGAGGAGCGAAAGCGUGGGGAGCGAACAGG
rnacentral:rRNA from 1 species